GUGCCAGCCGCCGCGGUAAUACGUAGGGUGCAAGCGUUGUCCGGAAUUAUUGGGCGUAAAGAGCUCGUAGGCGGUUUGUCGCGUCUGCUGUGAAAAUCCGAGGCUCAACCUCGGACCUGCAGUGGGUACGGGCAAACUAGAGUGCGGUAGGGGAGAUUGGAAUUCCUGGUGUAGCGGUGGAAUGCGCAGAUAUCAGGAGGAACACCAAUGGCGAAGGCAGAUCUCUGGGCCGUAACUGACGCUGAGGAGCGAAAGCGUGGGGAGCGAACAGGAUUAGAAACCCCUGUAGUCC
rnacentral:rRNA from 1 species